GGCAGUGUGACCUAAUGGAUAGAGUACUUGACUGGGACUCAGGAGACCUGGGCUCUAUUUCUGACUCUGCCA
rnacentral:tRNA from 1 species